UAUGAAAAAAUGUUGUUUUAAAUAAUCCUGAAUUUUCAAAAGAUACUCUUUUAAAUGUGUUCUUGGCCAUUGCUGUUGAUAAUUUGGCCAAUGCUCAGGAACUAACAUUAGCUGAAGAAGAAGAGGCAGAGGAAGAAAAAGAAAGAAACAAAGAAGAAUUAGAAAAAGAACUUGCCGAAUUUCAAGUGCAAAGUACAGGAUCAGAUCCACCGCAAGUUAAUAUCUGUCCUCCAUCUCCUCAAAAUCAGAUAGAUGAGAAAAAAGAAAAUAACCACAAGAAGGAAAAUAUGAAAAAUUGGACAGGUGCCCAUGAAACACAACUGGAUAUUGUAGCAAAUAAAAAACCUGAUUUAAAGGAGAGAAUUAACAUAGAUUUGUUAGAUGAUGAAGAGCAGAAUCAAGAAGUAGAUGAAAAUGAUGAUGAAAUAACAGGGCCCAGACCAAUGUUGCCAUAUUCUUCCAUGUUUGUUUUUUCCCCCACUAAUCCGUAAGUAAUUUUAGUUGUAAAUGAAAACUUUCAAAGUUUUGUUGUAUUUUUAUACAGUCCAGAAGAUAUACUUGCAAAAGAAUCACUGUAAUCAGUUUUCUGGUUUUAUCAUCUUAAAAUUGGUCCCACUAGUCAGGAUUUAUGAUACAGUUUUGUAUUAUGCCAAAAUAUCUUCAAGUUAAGA